rfam:Citrobacter koseri ATCC BAA-895, complete genome.
ACUAACUAAAAUAAAUGGGGCGGGAUCUCCUUGCCCUCUCGAUUGUCAUUCAGCACGGACAGACUAUAAGCCUGAUGGUCGUUCCCCAUCAGGCCUGAAAACCGCAAAACGCUGGAUAACAAUCUUCGAGGGUAGCGCUGCUACCCUUUUUUUUCUGGAGUAG